rnacentral:rRNA from 1 species
CACGGGGGGAGCAAGCGUUGUUCGGAAUCACUGGGCGUAAAGGGCGUGUAGGCGGUCAAGUAAGUGGAAUGUGAAAGCCCCCGGCUUACCCGGGGAUCUGCAUCCCAAACUGCUUGGCUUGAGUACGGGAGAGGAUAGGGGAAUUCCUGGUGUAGCGGUGAAAUGCGUAGAUAUCAGGAGGAACACCGGUGGCGAAGGCGCCUAUCUGGCCCGAUACUGACGCUGAGGAGCGAAAGCGUGGGGAGCGAACAGG